rnacentral:rRNA from 1 species
AAAAGAACCUGAAACCGUGUACGUACAAGCAGUGGGAGCACAGGUUUACCUGUGUGACUGCGUACCUUUUGUAUAAUGGGUCAGCGACUUAUAUUCUGUAGCAAGGUUAACCGUAUAGGGGAGCCGUAGGGAAACCGAGUCUUAACCGGGCGUUAAGUUGCAGGGUAUAGACCCGAAACCCGGUGAUCUAGCCAUGGGCAGGUUGAAGGUUGGGUAACACUAACUGGAGGACCGAACCGACUAAUGUUGAAAAAUUAGCGGAUGACCUGUGGCUGGGGGUGAAAGGCCAAUCAAACCGGGAGAUAGCUGGUUCUCCCCGAAAGCUAUUUAGGUAGCGCCUCGUGAAUUCAUCUCCGGGGGUAGAGCACUGUUUCGGCUAGGGGGCCAUCCCGGCUUACCAACCCGAUGCAAACUGCGAAUACCGGAGAAUGUUAUCACGGGAGACACACGGCGGGUGCUAACGUCCGUCGUGAAGAGGGAAACAACCCAGACCGCCAGCUAAGGUCCCAAAGUCAUGGUUAAGUGGGAAACGAUGUGGGAAGGCCCAGACAGCCAGGAUGUUGGCUUAGAAGCAGCCAUCAUUUAAAGAAAGCGUAAUAGCUCACUGGUCGAGUCGGCCUGCGCGGAAGAUGUAACGGGGCUAAACCAU